rnacentral:misc_RNA from 1 species
GAUGAAGAACGCAGCGAAACGCGAUAUGUAAUGUGAAUUGCAGAAUUCAGUGAAUCAUCGAAUCUUUGAACGCACAUGGCGCCUUCCAGUAUCCUGGGAGGCAUGCCUGUCCGAGCGUCGUUUCAACCCUCGAGCCCCCGUGGCCCGGCGUUGGGGAUCUGCCCAGGCAGUCCCCGAAAACCAGUGGCGGACCCGUUACAGGCCCUUCCCUUGCGUAGUAGCAUUCGCCUCGCAUCGGGAGCCGGCGGGCUUCCAGCCUCUAAACCCCCAUCAAGUCCGCCCCGGCGGCACCAAGGUUGUCCUCGGAUCAGGUAGGAAUACCCGCUGAACUUAAGCAUAUCAAUAAGCGGAGGA